rnacentral:rRNA from 1 species
CAAUAGCGUAUAUUUAAGUUGUUGCAGUUAAAAAGCUCGUAGUUGGAUUUCGGGUGGGACGCAGCGGUCUCGCAUUGCGUUUGUACUGCUGCAGCCCUCCUUCUUGCCGGGGGCGGCCUCUCGGACUUCACUGUCUGGGGGUCAGAAUCGGCGAUGUUACUUUGAGUAAAUUAGAGUGUUCAAAGCAAGCUUACGCUCUGAAUAUAAUAGCAUGGGAUAACACGACUGGACUCUGGCCUAUCGUGUUGGUCUAUAGGACCAGAGUAAUGAUUAAGAGGGACAGUCGGGGGCAUUCGUAUUCCGUUGUCAGAGGUGAAAUUCUUGGAUUUACGGAAGACGAACAUCUGCGAAAGCAUUUGCCAAGGAUGUUUUCAUUGA